GUAAUACUCCAUAGUUCGUUAUUACUGGAACUGUUUUUCGAACGAAAGAUCCGUCGCUUCAGGAUGAGUCUGCGGCCGCUUAGGUAGUUGUUGGGGUAAUUGCCCAACAAGCCUGUAAUCGGUACGGGUUGUGGGAGCAAGAGCCCGGAGAUGGAUUCUGAGACACGAAUCCAGGCCCUACGGGGCGCAGCAGGCGCGAAAACUUUACCAUGCGGGCAACCGUGAUAAGGAAACCCCGAGUGCCAGCACAGGCUGGCUGUCCGCCAGUUUAAACAACUGGCGAAGAAAGGGCCGGGCAAGACCGGUGCCAGCCGCCGCGGUAAUACCGGCGGCUCGAGUGGUGGCCGCUAUUACUGGGCUUAAAGGGUCCGUAGCUUGAUAAUAGGGUCCCUUGAGAAAUCCGCCGGCUUAACUGGCGGGCGUUCAGGGGAAACUUGUUUUCUAGGGACCGGGAGAGGUGAGGGGUACUGCCGGGGUAGGAGUGAAAUCCUGUAAUCCCGGUGGGACCACCUAUGGCGAAGGCAUCUCACCAGAACGGGUCCGACAGUGAUGGACGAAAGCUGGGGGAUCAAACCGGAUUAUAUACCCGGGUAGUCCCAGCUGUAAAAUAUGUGCGUUAAGUGU
rnacentral:rRNA from 1 species